UUGAAGACUAGGUAAUAUACAUUGUUGCUUUGAAGUAAACCUCCUAUUUCCUAUGUAUACAUAGGUAAACUAGUAGUAUUAGUUAACAUAAGGCAAUUAACCAUUCAAACUAUCAAGGCAUUCCAUUAUGGAACAGAUGAUUUAAGAUGAAGACAAUGUUUAGGUACCAGACUGGAGGUAUUCACUGAAGUAGCAUCCUCAAAGGUGUUUCUUAGGACCAGAAAACUUUCACUCAUUUUUAUUAUGUAUCUGUCAGCUGGAAAAAGAGAGGAAUACAAAGGGAGCUGUGGCGCUAGAACAAAGCAGCAGCUCACAGCCAGCUAAAGAAGAGAGAGCCUGCCUUCUUCACAUCGCCUGUCAAGCCAGCUGUUUCCUGUGCAACUUUGGAAUAUAUAUUUACCAGUGAUAUCAGCCGAACAUCUGAAGGAAGGUUUUGGCGGCCAAUGCAGAGGAAUUAUAAUUUUUACAGCCUUGAAAAAAAAUCUCUGUUUUGUAGCAGUGAACAAAGAGAACACUUCCACUCGGCUUAGCUGUGUUACUUCAACAAUGCAUAUAACUGCAGUCACAAUUCACAGAUGCAUCGAUUUUAAGGCCACCAGGGAACCAUGGGAUGAUCUAAUCUGACUAUCUGUAUAAUACAGGCAAUUGAAUUUUAUGAUGACUAAAGCAUGUCUUCCAGAAAGGUCCCAAUCUGAAGACUUCAACUGAUGGAGAAUCCACCACUUCUCUUGGCAGUUUGUUUCAAUGAUUUAUCAGUGAUACUGUUAACAGUGUGUGACUUAGUUCUAAUUUGAAUUUGUCUGCUUUUAACUUCCAGUCCUUGGUUCUUGUAAUGACCUU